GUUAGGAAUAUUGGACAAUGGGCGCAAGCCUGAUCCAGCCAUGCCGCGUGAGUGAUGAAGGCCUUCGGGUUGUAAAGCUCUUUAGUCCACGAAUAUAAUGACUGUAGUGGAAGAAUAAGCCCCGGCUAACUUCGUGCCAGCAGCCGCGGUAAUACGAAGGGGGCGAGCGUUAUUCGGAAUCACUGGGCGUAAAGCGUGCGUAGGCUGUUUUGUAAGUCAGAAGUGAAAGCCCAGGGCUUAACCCUGGGAUUGCUUUUGAAACUACAAGACUCGAAUUCGGGAGAGGAUAGCGGAAUUGUCAGUGUAGCAGUGAAAUGCGUAGAUAUUGACAGGAACACCAGUGGCGCAAGCGGCUAUCUGGACCGAUAUUGACGCUGAGGCACGAAAGCGUGGGGAGCAAACAGGAUUAGAUACCCCUGUAGUCC
rnacentral:rRNA from 1 species